AAAAAAAAAUUAAAAGCCACCCGAACAGUGCUGCAAAUCAGUUGAGGAAAGAGGAUUUUGCCUGCCUUCUUCCUUAUUAUUUUCCCUGCUGCAAGCCUGCUUUGCAAUCCGUAGGAAAUACUGUACCUUAUGGACACAGACAUCAGUCCCAGCUCCCUUUUUUUCCUCGUCUGAAUUAGAAGCUUCAGGAAUGUGCUAAUUGGCGGCGGCCUUGUUAGAGGGGCAAAAGACAGAGCACAAAGAAUUUUCAGUACAAGAUCAUUUGUCAUCAAGUUACGUGUCUUGCCAACAGCAUCCAGCAAGUGACUCAAAGCAGACAAAUAGUUUAUUUCUAUAUACUGAGCUGCCCAAAGGCUACAUGGAGAAAAUGUGGUGAUUAUUGUCCUUCCUUGAUACCAUCCCCUUUGGAAGCCUGUUCCCAUGUUGUUUCACAUGUUAAACAUUUGGAAAACAAAGUUUGAUCCAAAGGUGACUGAAGUCAACAGGAAUCUUUGCACUGAUUUUAAUGAGUCUUUGGAGUGAAGAAGGUAUAAGAACAGAUACACUCUGAAAAUUCUUGUUUAUAUAAGGGGGGAAGGUACUUUUAAAAUGCCAAAAAUACACCAGAAUAAAAUGGUUUCUGAAUACA
rnacentral:lncRNA from 1 species